rnacentral:rRNA from 1 species
CUUUACUAUAGCCUGGAAUUGUGUUCGGGCUUCGCUUACGCAGGAUAGGUGGGAGGCUGUGAAGUUCUGCUUGUGGGCAGAAUCGAGCCAACGGUGAGAUACCACUUUAGCGAGGCUAGAAUUCUAACCCUUACCCGUCAUCCGGGAAGGAGACAGUUUCAGGGGGGUAGUUUGACUGGGGCGGUCGCCUCCUAAAAGGUAACGGAGGCGCGCAAAGGUCCCCUCAGGCUGGUUGGAAAUCAGCCAGAGAGUGCAAAGGCAUAAGGGAGCUUGACUGCAAGACCUACAAGUCGAGCAGGGUGGAAACACGGUCUUAGUGAUCCGACGGUUCUGUGUGGAAGGGCCGUCGCUCAACGGAUAAAAGUUA